UACCUAUGCUGAUAACCCUGAGAGGCUAU
rnacentral:sRNA from 1 species